rnacentral:rRNA from 1 species
GACGAACGCUGGCGGCGUGCCUAAUACAUGCAAGUUGAGCGCUGAAGGUUGGUACUUGUACCAACUGGAUGAGCAGCGAACGGGUGAGUAACGCGUGGGGAAUCUGCCUUUGAGCGGGGGACAACAUUUGGAAACGAAUGCUAAUACCGCAUAAAAACUUUAAACACAAGUUUUAAGUUUGAAAGAUGCAAUUGCAUCACUCAAAGAUGAUCCCGCGUUGUAUUAGCUAGUUGGUGAGGUAAAGGCUCACCAAGGCGAUGAUACAUAGCCGACCUGAGAGGGUGAUCGGCCACAUUGGGACUGGGACACGGCCCAAACUCCUACGGGAGGCAGCAGGAGGGAAUCUUCGGCAAUGGACGAAAGUCUGACCGAGCAACGCCGCGUGAGUGAAGAAGGUUUUCGGAUCGUAAAACUCUGUUGGUAGAGAAGAACGUUGGUGAGAGUGGAAAGCUCAUCAAGUGACGGUAACUACCCAGAAAGGGACGGCUAACUACGUG